rnacentral:lncRNA from 1 species
AGAAAAGAAAAAGAAGCAGAUAGGAAGAGGGGUAGCCGCAAGCUGAAAAACAUAGAAGAGAGUUUUUUCUAGCAAAAAAGAUCGAUAGAGAAGAGUGCAGUGCAGACGGUUUUCGACAUUCCAACAGGAAGAGAGACGUUGGUCGACAAAGAGGAAGACGUUAAAGGUUUAGUCGUGGGUUUCAAGGUGGACAGAAAAUGAGAGUUUUGGGGUUGUUUACGAUGGCUCCAGUGUUUGUUUCGAUAACUUCACAACGGGUUUAACGAAUGGUUUAAUAAUGGUUUUCGAGCCGUCAAAGGUUGGUUUAGUUGUGGACUCUUCUUGGGGUAGCCGACACAAGAGACAAACACAACGAGAAAGAGAUUUUUUCUUGCAAACAAGAGAGGAAAAAAGUGCAGCUGAUGGAGAGGAAGACGUUGGAGUUUCGAUGUCAACGACGAUGAGAUUUUUCAAGCAGCAUUUGACGACGUUCGAAGUUGGUUGUGGGUUUGUGGCAUAGAAGUUUGAUUGUGUGUUGGGAGUUUGAUUUUGAUAGGUGUUAAUUGUGUGUUGAGAGUUUGAUUUUAAUUAGAAGGUAUUUGUGAUUUCUUGAAUAAUUGUAUAAGAUUAAAUUUUUUUGUUAGGUAAUCGAGACAUUGUUUCUGCAAUUAUUUUUUCAUAUUUUUCGAUUUUGCUAUUUUACCAAUUUAA